rnacentral:tRNA from 1 species
AAGUGUGUAGCUCAGUCGGUAGAGCAUCAAGCUUUUAAUUUGAACGUCAGAGGUUCGAAUCCUUUUACACUUA